rnacentral:rRNA from 1 species
UACGUAGGGGGCAAGCGUUGUCCGGAUUUACUGGGCGUAAAGAGCGCGUAGGCGGAUGUUUAAGUGUGGCCUGAAAGCCCCCGGCUCAACCGGGGAUCCGGGUUGCAUACUGGGCAUCUUGAGGGGGAUAGGGGAAGGUGGAAUUCCUGGUGUAGCGGUGAAAUGCGUAGAGAUCGGGAGGAACACCGGUGGCGAAGGCGGGUCUCUGGGCAUCUCCUGACGCUGAGGCGCGAAAGCGUGGGGAGCAAACGGG